UUUCGUGGCUGUGCCAAGAGUGGCCUUGGGAGGUUGGUGGAGGCCCUGGUGUCCCGGCCAGCUCCGUGCUGCAGAGCCCCUGUCCCCCAGGGCUCUUGUCCUGGCUCACCUGGCCGGCCAGGUCUUCUGAUUCCACUGCUGUGUGAUGGUGGAGUCGACAAAGCAGGGGGCUUGACAAAGACAGACCUUGAGCUCUCUGCCCUCUUGUGGUGCCAAAGCCACCCAGGGAUCUCCCUCUCAUCCCCCGAUGACGGUGUUCUGCAAAUAACAGUUGCCGAUCCCAUUCAAUCAAGACACAGGCAAACACAUUGGCCACAGGCAUAGAAGAACCCAGCAAGUGGGCCAGGAGGAAAAUCGACACCCGUGGCUCUGCGGUGGGAGCUUCUGCCCUGCCCCGCGCUCCAGAGAAGCGGAGAGCCCAGCCCAGCUCAUGACCCCCAGCCCACGGGUGGAUUCAUUCCACCGAAGACUGCAAGGAACCGCAAAAUGGGAGACAUAUUUAAGGAAGUAUGCACAAACCGGUUUAUUUUUCUUAUCUGACUUUUUUUCUGGUGCAAUGUGAGCGCUGUUGAAUACUGGGCAGCUGCCUUUCCGUACUUGAGCUGUUUGUCAUUUCUGGGGCUGCUGAUGCUGUUAUGAUUCCCCUUUUGGGAGGAAUUCACAGGCACAUGUUGACCCAGCUGAAUGGGAACAGGGAGCAGCAGGGGUUUUGUGAACAGGCACCGUCGCAUGCCGGACAGCAUGAACUCCUUCUUUCACUCGACCACACUGUCGAUGCGAGCUGCUCCCCGCACCGCCGCUGGGCUGGCCACUUAACCCGCUGCAGCUCAUUUAAAAAACCCACACUGGCCUUGAAAUAAGCCUUCCCUUUCAAUGCUCUCUGUGAGUUGUAGUCGGAGCGCUGCACAGCAUUGUUGACACAUCAGGGAAGUUGUCUCUCGGUAGCAACAGUUGCUAAGUGAGGUGCAACAGCCUUUAGAGCUCACAGAGGGGUGAGAAGGCAGCGCCCACUGAUGACCACUGAGCUGAAGGGUCAUAUCCUUUCUAGGACAGAGCAGGAAGGACCCUAAGAGGUGGUCUUCCCCCCCAAUCCGUCCUGGGCUCAGACGUGGGGGACAUCGAGGCCUGGUUUAGACACAGAGCUCAGCUGGCUAACUCCCAGCUCGCUACCAGAGGACACUCCAUGGAGAACACUUCAUGUCUGGUGAAGGAUGACAUUUCACCGAAGACAGCUUGAGUUCUAAAGACGGUUUUCUCUGUUAUGGCUGAAAACCACCUUUUCCCAAACCAGAUUACAGAAAAGGAGUGCACAGUCUAUAAGAGGAUGCCGCGGAAACGUGUGAAGCCAGCGCAUGGCGGCACCAUGAUCCCACGUGUGCUGUGAGCGUGACCUGGAGUAUGCACCCCAUGCUUACCAGCCCCUGAGUUUGUAAGGGCCCGAUUGAGAGCAAACCUGACUGUGGAAGCCUCCCCACCUAUGAAGACUGGCGUCCCCUCGGAGCAGCCACGGCCCAUGCCCGGAAGGGUUUCUCUGCUUCGGAAGCUGAACGUGGGACAGGUGCUGAGUGCAGUGGGGGGCUGGGGGACCCCAGUACCUUUGUUUCCAGUGCUAUUUUAUGACAGUCCCACUGGGAAACACGGAAUCUUGUUUGAGAGGGGAAAAAACCCCCAAGGGUUAUAAACAAUGAUCAA